GCCCGUCGCUCCUACCGAUUGGAUGACUCGGUGAAAUCACCGGAUGCUUACGAGCAGAAAGUGAUUAAAUCACGUUAUCUAGAGGAAGGAGAAGUCGUAACAAGGUAACGGUAGGUGAACCUGCCGUUGGAUCAGUUCUAGUUUUAAUAACUAACACCAACUUCUUUUAUUAAACAAAAACCAAUACAAAAUUAAAAACUAACUUCAUCAAAAACCAGUCUCUAAGCAAUGGAUGUCUUGGCUCCUCACACGAUGAAGAACGUGGCAUAAUGUGUUAAGUAACCGGAGUUGCAAACAUCAUGACA
rnacentral:rRNA from 1 species